UUAAGGUUAUAAUUGCAGGUUAGCACUUUUCACAGUGUGGCUUGAGGAAAAGUUUAAUGUAUUGCGUUUGUCUUUCCAGCCCCUCUUUGUGGACUGUCAAUUUAAGCAGUAGGAGGAGGUCUGUUGCUGAUGAAACCAGAGGAAAAGUUAACCUAGGAUACCACGCUGAAGAUGUAACAAGUUCAGGGCACCAUGAGCUCAAGAACAGAGCUGACAGCAUGAUAAACAUCAUCAGCCCUCCGCGGGUUCCUGAUAUCAUAAUUUUCCGCUCUCAAAAUCAGAAAGAGGAAGAUUUUUCUAACUUGUACUACAAGGGAGGAAAGACAGUCCGUCGGGUCACCACUGUUUGACCUCAGGGUCAACCCCACAUCAACCACCCACUGCAAGAAAGAGCCAGCUUUCUGUUCAGAGAGACGCCACAAAUUCAGUCUUACCUUAUUGUUACUCCAAAGAGGUCUUAUAUGCUGAAGAUGAAGAUGUGGUGGCUUGCAUGUCAAGAGUAUUGAGACAUAAUCAUAAUCAUAUGAGCCCUGCAGUCAACUGCAUGCAAUCAUUCAUGGUAAUGGCUGCUGAUAAAUCAGCCACAUCAACACUGCAUAUGCUCUUUUUCAGAAAUAAUUCAAUUGGAUGUGAUUAUUUUGUACCUUAUUCAAAUGAAAAUAUUUAAGUUAUUUUUUGUUGAUCGAUACUUUACACAAUUUUGUACAUCAGUAUAUGCAUCUUCAUAAGUAUAGAGGGCUGCAGUGAUGAUGUAUUUUUGUGGGCCAAACGGAAGUUGGCAUUACCCUGGUUCCAUCGACAAAAAUCCAACUGUAUUUUUCCAAUGGCUUGUGGAAUAUUGCAGAAAAUAAGCUCUGAGACCAUCAAAAGUUUAUAAUUUCACGUUUUUCUCAUCAUGAUAAUUUUUACAAAUCUUCACAACUUAAGCCUAAAUACAAU